rnacentral:rRNA from 1 species
UUGGAGGGCAAGUCUGGUGCCAGCAGCCGCGGUAAUUCCAGCUCCAAUAGCGUAUAUUAAAGUUGUUGCAGUUAAAAAGCUCGUAGUUGAAUUUCGAGAUCAAUUUGUCGGUCGUGCCUCGGUAUGUACUGGCAUUAUUGAUUUCUCCCUUCUGAAGAACCGCGAUGUCAUUAAUUUGGUGUCGUGGGGAAUCAGGACUGUUACUUUGAAAAAAUUAGAGUGUUUAAAGCAGGCGCACGCUUGAAUACAUUAGCAUGGAAUAAUGAAAUAGGACGUUUGAUUCUAUUUUGUUGGUUUCUAGGAUCGACGUAAUGAUUAAUAGGGAUAGUUGGGGGCAUUAGUAUUCAAUUGUCAGAGGUGAAAUUCUUGGAUUUAUUGAAGACUAACUACUGCGAAAGCAUUUGCCAAGGAUGUUUUCAUUAAUCAAGAACGAAAGUUAGGGGAUCGAAGACGAUCAGAUACCGUCGUAGUCUUAACCAUAAACUAUGGCGACUAGGGAUCGGAUGAUGUUAAUUUUUUAAUGACUCAUUCGGCGCCUUACGGGAAAC